rnacentral:lncRNA from 1 species
AUUUUAUUACUAUCAUUAUUGUACUCUUAUAAAACAAAAAGGAAUCAACAGAAUGAAAAUUAGCUUUCUUUAAACCCCCUUUUUCCCCUUGAUUAUUAUUGUAAAUUAAAAAUAAAUAUAAAUAUAAUGGAUUGGAAUUGCUGUGUGAGAAAACCAAUACAGUGGGAGAGCCAGACUGUGAGACCAGAAAUAAAAACAUUGGAGUUACAACAAAAUGAAUCAUCUUUUUUUUUGAGGGAAAGAGAGCAAAAAACUUGGAGAAAAAGAGAGGGAAAAGAGAUUGUCCUCUCUUCAAAGGAAGAAUUCAGAAGAAUUAAGAUUAAAGAGAAAAAACAACAGUACUGAAGGAAAAUAAAGAACAAAAACCAUUCUGAUUUAAGUUGAUUCCAAUCUCUGACUCAUCUGAAACAUUCAACUCUUCCAGGUAUGUUGAACAAACGAGAAGUUUCAACCCAUUUGCUCUGGCUAAAUUUGAUAGUUAGUUUGUCCUGUUUGUGUAUAGAUUGUUUCUUUGAUUUUUCUUUUUCUAAUUCUCAUUACUAGUUCUC